GAUGAACGCUGGCGGCGUGCCUAAUACAUGCAAGUCGAACGAACGGACGAGGAGCUUGCUGUGCUGUCGUUAGCGGCAGACGGGUGAGUAACACGUGUAUAACGUACCUAUAUGACUGGGAUAACUUCGGGAAUCCGGCGCUAAUAGCGUAUAAGAUCUUGCUCCGCAUGGGGCAAUGGUAAGAUACGGUCUUGCUGGCACGUAUAGAUGGAUCCGCGCUGUAUUAGCUAGUUGGUCAGGUAACGGCUUACCAAGGCAACGAUGCGUAGACGACCUGAGAGGGGGAUAGCCGACCCUGGAAGGGGAACAAGGUCAAGAGGACUAAGGGAGGGAGCAGACGGGAAUCGUACGCAGUAGGCGAAAACAUGGCGGAGCAGCGGCGAGUGAGUGAUAAAGGUCUUCGGAGCGUAAAACUCUGUUAUUAGGGAAAAACAGAUGUGUAAGUAAACGAGGAGAGAGUGACGGUAACUAAUAAGAAAGCAACGGCUAACUACGUG
rnacentral:rRNA from 1 species